rnacentral:rRNA from 1 species
CGGCGGACGGGUAAGUAACGCGUGGGUAACCGUGCCUCAUACAGGGGGAUAACAGUUGGAAACGGCUGCUAAUACCGCAUAAGCGCACAGUACCGCAUGGUACGGUGUGAAAAACUCCGGUGGUAUGAGAUGGACCCGCGUCUGAUUAGGUAGUUGGUGGGGUAACGGCCUACCAAGCCGACGAUCAGUAGCCGACCUGAGAGGGUGACCGGCCACAUUGGGACUGAGACACGGCCCAA